AACGAACGCUGGCGGCAGGCUUAACACAUGCAAGUUGAACGGGAAUUGUAUAGUGCUUGCACUAUAUGAUGAGAGUGGCGCACGGGUGAGUAAUACAUGGGAACAUACCCUGAAGUUCGGAACAACAGUUGGAAACGACUGCUAAUACCGGAUAAUGCCUGAGGGAGAAAGAUUUAUCGCUUUAGGAAUGGCCCAUGGCAGAUUAGGUAGUUGGUGGGGUAAAGGCUUACCAAGCCGACGAUCUGUAGCUGGUCUGAGAGGACGAUCAGCCACACUGGAACUGAGACACGGUCCAGACUCCUACGGGAGGCCGCAGUGGGGAAUAUUGCACAAUGGGGGAAACCCUGAUGCAGCGACGCCGCGUGAGCGAAGAAGUAUUUCGGUAUGUAAAGCUCUAUCAGCAGGGAAGAAGAAAUGACGGUACCUGACUAAGAAGCACCGGCUAAAUACGUGCCAGCAGCCGCGGUAAUACGUAUGGUGCAAGCGUUAUCCGGAUUUACUGGGUGUAAAGGGAGCGCAGGCGGAAGGCUAAGUCUGAUGUGAAAGCCCGGGGCUCAACCCCGGUACUGCAUUGGAAACUGGUCAUCUAGAGUGUCGGAGGGGUAAGUGGAAUUCCUAGUGUAGCGGUGAAAUGCGUAGAUAUUAGGAGGAACACCAGUGGCGAAGGCGGCUUACUGGACGAUAACUGACGCUGAGGCUCGAAAGCGUGNGGAGCACACAGG
rnacentral:rRNA from 1 species